UACGUAGGGGGCUAGCGUUGUCCGGAUUUAUUGGGCGUAAAGAGCGUGUAGGCGGCCAGAUAGGUCCGUUGUGAAAACCCGAGGCUUAACCUCGGGACGUCGAUGGAAACCAUCUGGCUAGAGUCCGGAAGAGGAGAGUGGAAUUCCUGGUGGUAGCGGUGAAAGUGCGCAGAUAUCAGGAAGAACACCCGUGGCGAAGGCGGCUCUCUGGGACGGUACUGACGCUGAGACGCGAAAGCGUGGGAGCGAACAGG
rnacentral:rRNA from 1 species